AUGUCAAGUAAGCUUUCCUCCCCCAAGCACAUUGGCAAGGGCUCUGGUUGGGUUUUGCUCGAAGACCCUCUCCGGAAGCCUCGCAGGAAAAGGGUCAGCCCCUGCGGAGGGAGGCGAGACGCUGGUGGUCUGCAUUUCAAGGCCAGCACUGAGCCUGCCCAUUCCUGCUGCACUGCCAGUGAAAAACACAGACUUCUUCCCUCCGAAGCAAAGAAUCCUCAGCGUCCUUCAGAAUCAUGUCUCAAAGAGGACAGCGGCCAAAGAAGCGAGAAAGCCUUCCUUCCUCUUUCGAAGGCUUCAAGCAGGAAGGGAGGAACGGGGCUGGGAAGCAGGAAACUCCCUGCAGGCCAACGCGCCCAGGACUCAGCUGGAAGCAGACCGCCCAGCUUCACGAAUUGCUCGAGGGUGGUUCCUGGUGCCGCUGCACUGGGUUCCAGCUCAGAUUCUGCCCAAGGCCCUUCCAACCUCAGGGAGAAGGAGGUGACAGACGCCUCUCUUCUGAGACGUGAUGAAAGGUGAGGCUCAGAGCAUCCUUCUAAGCUGUCCACCUCGGAGCUCCAGGUCUCCCAGACCCUGGCCAGCACAGCACACACAGAGAGGCACCUGCCCCAGCUGGCUUUUGGAAAGGGCCCUGCACCACUGGCCUUUUGUGUAAAAGCUCCCUGUCCACUUAACUAACAAGUAAUCAUUAAUAUUACCCCUGGCCCACGUAUCCAACUGUUAAACUGACACUAAUGAAAUGAGUCUCGGGCACCAUGACCAAUAUUAAAACCCAGCCUGAGCUGUUAAUUUAAAUGACCCAGGCUGAUUUAUACAUCGUGCUUUGCAUUAACCAGGAAGGAAGGUAUUUUAUAUCAAAAUGCACAGACAUUUCUUCCACCAUGGCUUUAUUAUUUCUUUAUUAUACCUCCCUGCCCCAACUGGACCCAACCAGAUCACACUGAAAGGUCCCAGCCUUAAUUACUGGCAUCACAGUUUUGCCUUCUUGUUGACAAAGGAUUCCCAACGGAGGGGAAAAUCUAGAGUUGAAAAGCAUGCCGCACAUGUAACUUUGGGAUCUGCUGUGAAGAGCAGGCUAUGGAAUGGGGAGGGAUAAGUUAGCAGUUUGGGAUUAACACACACAUAGCUACUACAGACAUGGGCUUCCCAGGUGGCUCAGUGGUAAAAGAAUCUGCCUGCCAAUGCAGGAGAUGCAAGACACUCAGGUUCAAUCCCUGGGUUGGGAAGAUUCCCUGGAGGAGAAGGUGGCUUACCCACUCCAAUAUUCUUGCCUGGGAAAUCCCAUGGACAGAGGAGCCUGGCGGGCUGCAAUCCAUGGGGUGCAAGAGUUGGGCUCAACUUACUACUAUACAUAGAAUAGGUAGUCAACAUAUAGCAAGGGGGGCUCUACUAAAUACUCUGUAGAGCCAGACAUCCUGGAAUGUGAAGUCAAGUGGGCCUUAGAAAGCAUCACGACGAACAAAGCUAGUGGAGGUGAUGGAAUUCCAGUUGAGCUGUUUCAAAUCCUAAAAGAUGAUGCUGUGAAAGUACUGCACUCAAUAUGCCAACAAAUUUGGAAAACUCAGCAGUGGUCACAGGACUGGAAAAGGUCAGUUUUCAUUCCAAUCCCCAAAAAAGGCAAUGCCAAAGAAUGUUCAAACUAAAGCACAAGUGCACUCAUCUCACACGCUAGCAAAGUAAUGCUCAAAAUUCUCCAAGCCAGGCUUCAACAGUACAUGAACUGAGAACUUCCAGAUGUUCAAGCUGGAUUCAGAAAAGGCAGAAGAACCAGAGAUCAAACUGCCAACAUCCGUUGGAUAAUAGAAAAAGCAAGAGAAUUCCAGAAAAACAUUUACUUCUGCUUUAUUGUCUAUGCUAAAGCCUUUGACUGU
rnacentral:lncRNA from 1 species